UGUAGAGGCAGAUCUCUGGUACCACA
rnacentral:piRNA from 1 species